UAUCUAUAAAAAAUGAAUUUAUUCAAACAAUAACAAUAAUAAUUUAUGAUUAAUUAAAUACAAACAGAGUUUACUUAUGGAUAAUCGUACAGGAUAUAUAAUAGUCAGCUGAUUGGGUUCCUCAAUAUCAACAAUGGGAUAAUACGUUCAGCUGAUUCAGGUUGGGUUAGGAUAUGUAAUAAUUGGGUAGAUUGGGUUACCCAAGAUUUGAUAUUGGGUCAAAUUUACCCAAUAUUGGGGCAUUGGAUUUUACCCAAUUAUGGGGAGUUGGGAUUCUCUGAGCUGGCCAGAUGUUUACGAGUCUGACCAACGUCCCAGACUGAAGAAAAAGUCUAAAGUGCCUUCUUUAUAUACCUUUUGGUAUUCCGGUGCGAAUUAGUUCACGCGCGAAUAACAAGCGGUACCGCCAGUAUUCGCGCGACGUUUGUAUGGUAACACUAACAACUUUUGCAUCAAGUAAAGGCUUUAACAUUACGAAUGCGGGAAAAGGGAUGAUUUGUUGUUUGGGAAUUGUUUUGGAAACGAUGCCAAGUUGGAUUUGGGUACCUGGGUCGAAUAACAAUGUCAGACGGUCAUUUGUUAUUACGAUUGGGCUAAUCUAUGGAAGAAAUUCGGUUCAUCACUUCUUACCAAUCCUGGAUCCAUUGGAAUAGAAAAGUCACGACGGAGACACUCACGAAUCUUGAUCCACACUACAAAUAUUCACAAUUAUUAUACGGUUCACAAAGUUAAAUGAUAUAGUCCUUUGAAAUAUCCAAAAGGUCCAGUGCACGUCUAUGUAUUACGAAUCCAGCGUCAUUGCGAAAUGUCCAGGAUCAAUUCCGGAAGUACAUCACACGGCUUGGAGGGCUUCCUCACAGCAAGGCGGUACUAAAUCUGAUGCCACUGGGGAAGAUUGGAGAUUGGGAGAGGGUAAAUUAUGAUCCCGAUUAUCUUCCACUGCAUUGGACGAGGAUGGGCGUGAUUUGAAAGUGACUUCUGAAUCAAAACUUUCUUCAGUUUCCAUUGUAAAUAUUGGGUACAAAAAUUGAUUGGGUCAAUAAAAAUAUACAAAAAUUUAAGAAUUCUUUUGUCUUUAUAAUAGAAAAAUUUUGGUAAACAGAAAUAAGCAAAUGGAUAUCCCACUUCUGACACCAAAUUGUAACGUGACCCGAUCUUGGGUGUUACAAAAAUUAUGUGAGUCCUCUUAUUCCUGUGAUUUACCUUAAUUAAUCAACAAGAUUUGUUUAUCUAUAAAAAAUGAAUUUAUUCAAACAAUAACACUAAUAAUUUAUAAUUAAUUAAAUACAAACAGAGUUUACUUAUGGAUAAUCGUACAGGAUAUAUAAUAGUCAGCUGAUUGGGUUCCUCAAUAUCAACAAUGGGAUAAUACGUUCAGCUGAUUCAGGUUGGGUUAGGAUAUGUAAUAAUUGGGUAGAUUGGGUUACCCAAGAUUUGAUAUUGGGUCAAAUUUACCCAAUAUUGGGGCAUUGGAUUUUACCCAAUUAUGGGGAGUUGGGAUUCUCUGAGCUGGCCAGAUGUUUACGAGUCUGACCAACGUCCCAGACUGAAGAAAAAGUCUAAAGUGCCUUCUUUAUAUACCUUUUGGUAUUCCGGUGCGAAUUAGUUCACGCGCGAAUAACAAGCGGUACCGCCAGUAUUCGCGCGACGUUUGUAUGGUAACACUAACAACUUUUGCAUCAAGUAAAGGCUUUAGCAUUACAAAUGCGGGAAAAGGGAUGAUUUGUUGUUUGGGAAUUGUUUUGGAAACGAUGCCAAGUUGGAUUUGGGUACCUGGGUCGAAUAACAAUGUCAGACGGUCAUUUGUUAUUACGAUUGGGCUAAUCUAUGGAAGAAAU